CCUACGGGGGGCAGCAGUGGGGAAUAUUGGACAAUGGGCGAAAGCCUGAUCCAGCCAUGCCGCGUGUGUGAAGAAGGCCUUCGGGUUGUAAAGCACUUUCAGUGGGGAAGAAAGCCUUGGGGCUAAUACCCUCGAGGAAGGACAUCACCCACAGAAGAAGCACCGGCUAACUCCGUGCCAGCAGCCGCGGUAAUACGGAGGGUGCGAGCGUUAAUCGGAAUUACUGGGCGUAAAGCGCGCGUAGGCGGUCUGAUAAGCCGGUUGUGAAAGCCCCGGGCUCAACCUGGGAACGGCAUCCGGAACUGUCAGGCUAGAGUGCAGGAGAGGAAGGUAGAAUUCCCGGUGUAGCGGUGAAAUGCGUAGAGAUCGGGAGGAAUACCAGUGGCGAAGGCGGCCUUCUGGACUGACACUGACGCUGAGGUGCGAAAGCGUGGGUAGCAAACAGGAUUAGAUAACCGAGUAGUC
rnacentral:rRNA from 1 species